UUCAGUUUCCGCUGUAGCGAGUUAUGGCUCAUAGAAGAGGAGAAAAACAUUUUCGCUCAGGAGUUGGAGCAGAAAACUUGCAGUUUUCGGACCAUUGUGGAUGUACCGUGUCUUUUGGACCGAAACGGUUUACUGGAUUAUAUUCCCUGGACCAUAACGGACAGAAUGACACCAAACACAACGUGAAUGGACGAUGUAUGGGGUUCAGACGUCAAACGUCUGCUCAAACCCUGGGAGAGAACACUGCAUCGCCACCCAGGGCCAGCCGCCACUAUUACAGUUCUUCCGCGAGGACCCGUUGAAGAGUGAGGAAAUGAGGAGAAAGACAAAAAGAGAGUAAAUGUGAAAAAUGCAAUCUCUCAGACAGAAAACAGCGACUAUAAAGGCAGCUCAAUCAGGUGAGGAUGUAAAGCAUGUAAGUGUAGGCAGGAAGACAAACUGUGAUGCGAGGUUGUCAAAAAAAACAAACAAAUAAUUGUUAUCAAAAUUCAGCAAAAUAUAAUCAUAAGAACAAUAAACGCAGUACAGGAUGGUGGAGCA
rnacentral:lncRNA from 1 species